rnacentral:rRNA from 1 species
UACGUAGGGGGCAAGCGUUGUCCGGAUUUAUUGGGCGUAAAGAGCGUGUAGGCGGCUAGAUAGGUCCGUUGUGAAAACUCGAGGCUCAACCUCGAGACGCCGAUGGAAACCAUGUGGCUAGAGUCCGGAAGAGGAGAGUGGAAUUCCUGGUGUAGCGGUGAAAUGCGCAGAUAUCAGGAAGAACACCCGUGGCUAAGGCGGCUCACUGGCCCGGUACUGACGCUGAGGUGCGAAAGCGUGGGGAGCAAACAGG